rnacentral:rRNA from 1 species
CCCUUAGAUGUCCGGGGCCGCACGCGCGCUACACUGAAGGAAUCAGCGUGGCUUUCUCCCUGACCCGAAAGGGUUGGGAAACCCGUUGAAUCUCCUUCGUGAUAGGGAUUGGGGCUUGAAAUUGUUCCCCAUGAACGAGGAAUUCCCAGUAAGCGCGAGUCAUAAGCUCGCGUUGAUUACGUCCCUGCCCUUUGUACACACCGCCCGUCGCUACUACCGAUUGAAUGGCUUAGUGAGCCUUUGGGAUUGGCAGCCAACACCGGCAACGGUAGCUGGCCGCCGAAAACUUAUGCAAACUUGGUCAUUUAGAGGAAGUAAAAGUCGUAACA